rnacentral:tRNA from 1 species
GGUGAGGUGGCCGAGAGGCUGAAGGCGCUCCCCUGCUAAGAGAGUAUGCGGUCAAAAGCUGCAUCCGGGGUUCGAAUCCCCGCCUCACCGCCA